CCUACGGGAGGCAGCAGUGAGGAAUAUUGGUCAAUGGUCGGGAGACUGAACCAGCCAAGCCGCGUGAGGGAGGAAGGUACAGAGUAUCGUAAACCUCUUUUGUCAGGGAACAAAGGCGGGGACGUGUCCCCGGAUGAGCGUACCUGAAGAAAAAGCAUCGGCUAACUCCGUGCCAGCAGCCGCGGUAAUACGGAGGAUGCGAGGGUUAUCCGGAUGUACUGGGGUUAAAGGGUGGGCAGGCGGGUCGGUAAGUCAGCGGUCAAAGGCCCGGGCUCAACCCCGGCCCCGCAGUUGAAACUGGCAGUCUCGAGUGGGAGAGAGGUAUGCGGAAUGCGCGGUGUAGCGGUGAAAUGCGUAGAUAUCGCGAAGAACUCCGAUUGCGAAGGCAGCAUGCCGGCUCCACACUGACGCUGAGGCACGAAAGCGUGGGUAUCGAACAGGAUUAGAUACCCCGGUAGUC
rnacentral:rRNA from 1 species